rnacentral:rRNA from 1 species
CCUACGGGAGGCAGCAGUAGGGAAUCUUCCGCAAUGGACGAAAGUCUGACGGAGCAACGCCGCGUGAACGAUGAAGGCCUUCGGGUCGUAAAGUUCUGUUGUUAGGGAAGAACAAGUGCUAGUUGAAUAAGCUGGCACCUUGACGGUACCUAACCAGAAAGCCACGGCUAACUACGUGCCAGCAGCCGCGGUAAUACGUAGGUGGCAAGCGUUGUCCGGAAUUAUUGGGCGUAAAGCGCGCGCAGGCGGUUUCUUAAGUCUGAUGUGAAAGCCCCCGGCUCAACCGGGGAGGGUCAUUGGAAACUGGGAAACUUGAGUGCAGAAGAGGAAAGUGGAAUUCCAAGUGUAGCGGUGAAAUGCGUAGAGAUUUGGAGGAACACCAGUGGCGAAGGCGACUUUCUGGUCUGUAACUGACGCUGAGGCGCGAAAGCGUGGGGAGCAAACAGGAUUAGAUACCCUGGUAGUCCACGCUGUAAACGAUGAGUGCUAAGUGUUAGAGGGUUUUCCGCCCUUUAGUGCUGAAGUUAACGCAUUAAGCACUCCGCCUGGGGAUACGGUCGCAAGACUGAAACCUNAAAAGGAUUGACGG